CCCGUUUCUCAAAUUUCUUCAGAAUGGAGUCUGAAAGGCUGGCUGGAAAAGCCGAGCCCGUGGAGGAGCCAGCUACUACCCUGAAAGCACGGAGCUCAGCAAGAUUCUGUAAACAAAGUUCCUGUGAAUCAGACACCACCGUCUGACUGAGAGGAGCAGUGAGCGUCUUUGAGGGACUGAGGUUGGCCACUCUUUCCUGGUGAACUGGACAUGUUGGUUCGCUUGCACAUCAGGAUUUCUCUGUUGUUGUGUUUGUGUUUCGGGUGCUGGGGAUGGGCCCAGGGCGGGGACGUUGGGCCAGUGCGCUCGCCUAGAGCCCCACGCCAGCCCUCCUCGGGUUAUCUGUGAUUUCUUUGCUUGUGAUCUCUUUCAUCUCUUGGUUGGAAUGUAAUUAUAAGUUGAUUCCUAUAAGCUCUUUAAGUUUUUUCCCCUUGGCUGUACUGGGAAUUGAAGCCAGUGCCUCACACAUGCCAGACAAUCACUGAGCUGCAUACCCAGACCUCUAAAAAAUGUUGUUCUCGGAGACAGGGUCUCGCUAAGUUACCAAGGCUGGCCUCACACUUGCCAUCCUCCUGCCUCAGCCUCCCCUGGGGCUGGGAGGACAGGUCAGACCACCACGCCUGGCUACAGUGCACGUGUAUCACCCUUCCAGCUCUCCCGGGAUCUGAGGCUCAGGAGUGGUUCUUCCGCGGUGGCAAUCAGAUGUCAGCCGGGGAUGCUGUCCUUUGAAGGCCUCAUGGUGAUUCACUUUGAAGGUGGCUCAGUUGCCUGGCUGCCCAGUUGGUGCGGGUUGUUGUUCAUGGACUUAUGGAUGAAUGGAUUAUCAUGGGAGUGGCUUUGGUGUACAAGUGGGCUCUCUCUGCCACGCUCGAUCUGUCUUGCCGUGUGGUGCCCUCUGCCAGGUUGUCAUGCAGCAGGAAGACCCCCACCAGGUGCCAUCAUCAGGUUCUUAAGACUUCCCAGCCUCCGGAGCCAUGAGCCAGAUAAACCUCCGUUCUUUAUAAACGACCCCACCUGUGGUAUUCAGUUAUAGCAACAGAAAGCGGACUAAGGCAUAUGGUAAGUAACAUAGUCAUGGAAACAGCCAUCAUGAAGGCAGAGGUUCCUAUUCAGAGUUCCCCUCAGAGGGCAGGCAUGGCCCACUAUACAGGGGGUCAGUUGAGGCAGAGAGAACCAAGGGAAAAUGUGCUAGAGCUUUUAUUGUGCUCUCCAUGGGAAAGCCUAAUCGUGCAGAGUUAGGUUUAGGAUUUGGCAAGUUUGGAUAAUUUCAGCAGAUUCUAGGGCAUAGGGCUGUCCCCGGUUGCCUGGUACCUGGCCCUUGAGUAACUAGGACAGAGGAAUAUUGGCCUGGGGGGUAAGAGUGUCCUGUGCUGUGUAAACUUGGGACGGUUGGUCUUUGGAAAGGCGUGUUCCUGGGCACACCAGCUGUUUACUAUCUCUGGAACUUAGCUAACUGUGGGAGGGGCCGUUGCUCAGGAUGGCAGCGUCAAGAGGGCAAAACAUGAGAUAGUAUCAGACCUAAGAAGCUUGGCACACAGACCUCUCCUCCCUCUGCCCUCUGCCCACCAGCUUCCUCCCCCGACCCCGCGCACCUGACCCUGCUCAGAUCCUUGCUCUGCCUGCCUGCCUUCCACGGCAGGGCUCUGUCCCUGGUCCUGUCUGCCUCCCUGGGUCCUGAGCCAUCAGGUUCACCCCGGGGACUUCUGGGUCCCUCCUGGAGCCCUGGAUCCAGGAGUCCAGCCACCUCCCAAUGCCCCGAUGUCUGUCAUCCCCAGAGCUCAUCUCAACCCUGUGCUCUGCCCAGGUGGGGGCUGAGCAGCCUCCCUCUGGGCUCCAAGGCUGUUCCCGUGGCUGAGUCACGCAAAGACAUGAGCACACCGCGAUUUCUCAGAAAUCGGCUCUUUGCCAAUCUGGCCCCAAAGAGCACGUGACCUUGAGGGACACAGAGGGGGCUGUGCUGGCCUUCCUCCCCUGCAGCCGGCUGCCCACCGUCUCAGUCCAUUUUCUAGGCUAUAGCGAGCGCCACGGACUGGGUCCAUUAUGAGCAGUGGAAGAGCAUCUGUGCUCUAUUCCGGGAGUCCCUGCGCCUGGCGCCAUCAUCAGGCCGGGGGCCUUAGCGGUGAGUCCCAAAUGGCAGAAGGGCCAGGAAGUGUGCAAGAGACGGAACCGGGCCCCACUUGCCCUGUUUAACAGGACCUGCUACUGCAAUCAGCAAUCCCAGGACAGAGGUUCCACCUUUUAAGACUGUUAGGCAGUCACCCUGCGCUACCUGGGCGGGGCUGUGGCCGGGAGGCAGGGCACUUGUGGGCAGGCUGGAGGCCCGGAGUCCGUCCCCAGCCCUGGAACAAACAAGCUCCAGAAUGAGCUUUGGAGGGAAUAUUCUAAGCAUGGCCCUGGUCAGAUCUGAUGGGUCUUCCUCCUUCACCUCUCGGAGUCCCUCUUCCUCUGUCCCAGUGCCCGUGUUUCCAUUCAUCUGCCAAGACGCAGACACCUGACUCUGUCUGCCCCCAGACCCAGCCUCAGCCAUUAGCCAGAGGGGAUCCUGAAACAGUCACGGAGGGCAUCUCCCACCCCCGCCUAGAAGGCCUAUUGCCCCGAAGAAAGCUCAACCUGACCCUGGUCUGAGUCUGUCCCCCAGGGCUCCUGGGAUGGAGGGGUGGUCCCCAGGAUAGGGAUGCUGAGAGAUGACAGGUUGUUAGGAGUUGGGGGUCCAGUGGCGGUUGUUUAGCUCACUGAGGGCGCUAGAGAGGACCCCAUGCUUUGUGGAACUCUGGUUAGCACUCAUCAGAGUACUAGUUCUCAAUGUCAUAAAGAGAGCAGGUCUGGCCCGGGCAUGGUGGCACAUACCUGCAAUCCCAGCAACUUAGGAGGCUGAGGAAGGAGGAUCACAAGUUCAAGGCCAACCCCAGCAACUUAGAGGUAGGAAGUAGGCCCAAAAUAAUUUAGUGAGACCUUGACUCGAAACAAAAAAAUAAAAAGGGCUAGGGAUGUGGCUCGGUGGUAAAGCACCCCUGGGUUCACCAUCCCCAGUACAAAAAAAAAAAAAGCCCCGUGAUGCACCCAGAGGAGAGCCGAUAUGGGUACCAUGCCCUUGAACCUCCUGAGCUGUGUGCUAAGGAAGCCUCUUUUCUUUAUAAAGGACUCAGCCUCAGGAUCUCAUUGUAGUUACAGCAAACAUGCCUCUUAGAUGGAGCCACAAGCCCUUCCCUGCUAAACUCUGUAGGCCUUUGGGCGGCCGUGAGCAUUUCCUGUUGCCUAGACCACAGGCCCCUGGCUUACUCAUCACCAUGCCAACACAUCCUCUGUCUGCCUCAAAGUCACGUCCUCUCUGCUAUCAGAUUAAUAAAGAGCAGAUUUUGAGAAGUCAUGGUGUGGGUGUGGGUGCGGACAUGGCAGGUGUGACCGAGCCCGGGGGAACAGCCUUGGAGCAGGGCAGUUAGACGAGGCUGUAAAAGUCACCCAUCACCUCCCAUGCAGCCACCUUAUUGGGGGACUCUAUCCUGCAGAUAAACUUGAGCACACGAGAGAAUUCACAGGAAGUGAGUCUGUGCUGCAUCUUUGUGAUAGCAAAGCCUGAAUAGCCAUCCGGCACAGCCCAGUUCAGGACAGACAGUGGCACUCUGUGAAAUGGGGGUCACGGUGUGGAAGGUGAGUCAAGUUCGGCCAGUAACAGAAGCUCAGGUGCAUGGGGUCACUGUCAAGCACCUUGGCCUUAUUUGUGAUUUUUCUUUUUCCUUCCUUCCUUCCUUCCUUCCUUCCUUCCUUCCUUCCUUCCUUCCUUCCUUCCUUCCUUCCUUCUUUCUUUCUCUCUGGUACUGGAGAUUGAGCUACUACUUAACCACUGAGCCCCAUCCCCAGCCCUAUUCUGUAUUUUAUUUAGAGACAGGGCCUCACUGAGUGGCUAAGUGCCUCACCAUUGCUGAGGCUGCCUUUGAACCCGUGAUCCUCCUGCCUCAGCCCCCCGGGCCGCUGGCAUUACAGGCGUGUGCCCCUGUGCCUGGCCUUGUGAUUUUUUCUUCAUGUGCAUUGAAACACCCAUCCCAUUUGCCCCUAGGAAUUAAGUGCCACGAUUCUCCACACUUUCCAGGUGAGGAGAGAACUGGGCAGUGCUGGGGGAGGGGGGCCUAAGGGACCUGCCCACAGUCAAGAGGGAGAAGUGACGCGGCCACUCGUGUUGAAGCUGGCCAGCCCUCGAUGCUGAUCUCCCGGCUCCGCCACCUCUCUUUGCUGGGGCGCCACCAAAAGAUGUCUCAGCGGUUGUUCAUUUAAAAAGCAGGAAAUGUUUUUGGAAAAUGUUAGCAUUUAAGGGACGCCGGGUAAAGAGAAAUGGGAACUCGGUGCAUUUUUGCAAUUUUUUAAACCUAAAAUCAUUCCAAAGUAAAAGUUUAUGAAAAAGAAAAACACCUCAAAGAGCUAUGUGUUCAUCUAUGUUCAUAACAGACGGAAACCAUCCCCGUCCAUGACAGAUGAACGGAAAAACACAACGCGGUCCGUCUGUACAGUCGGAUGUUAUUCAGUCUUAAAAAGGAAGAAGAUGUUGACAUGUGACCAUGUGGAUAAGAUUUGAAGACAUCAGGCGAAAAGAAACGAGUCACUCACAAGAGAACGGAUGCUACAUGAUUGUCCUCAUAGUGGGUCCCCGCCACCGUCCCAUCUGUAGUGUGCUAUCUAUCCCGUAGCAAGACCUAAGAGAACCAACUUACAUGGAGACAAGGUUUAUUCUGGCUCUGUUUAAGGGGUUUCCAUGCUCUAUUGAUUGGUCUUGUUGUUUGGGGCCUGUGACAAGGCAGCCCAUCAUGGAAAGAGUGUGUGUUGGGGGCUGGGGACGUGGCUCCAGUGGUAGCGCGCUUGCCUGGCAUGUGUGCGGCCCGGGUUCGAUCCUCAGCACCACAUACAAACAAAGAUGUUGUGUCC
rnacentral:lncRNA from 1 species